rnacentral:rRNA from 1 species
AGCUCCAAUAGCGUAUAUUAAAGUUGUUGCAGUUAAAAAGCUCGUAGUUGGAUCUCAGGGUGAGCUCAGUUGGUCGGCCUAAUUGGUCAGAACUGGCUGUCUCUCCCUUGUUUCUGGAUCCCUUCCGGAGUUGAUUCUUCGGUAGUGGACUCCAGAUCGUUUACCUUGAAAAAAUUAGAGUGUUCAAAGCGGGCGUUUGCUUGAAUACAUUAGCAUGGAAUAAUGGAAUAGGACCCUGGUCUUAUUUUGUUGGUUUUGAGGACCAGAGUAAUGAUUAAUAGGGAUAGUUGGGGGCAUUCAUAUUUAAUUGUCAGAGGUGAAAUUCUUGGAUUUAUGAAAGAUGAACUUCUGCGAAAGCAUUUGCCAAGGAUGUUUUCAUUAAUCAAGAACGAAAGUACGC